rnacentral:lncRNA from 1 species
CAGUGAGGCUCCCUGCUCAGCUCCUGGGGCUGCUAAUGCUCUGGGUCCCUGUGGGGAUAUUGUGAUGACCCAGCAUCUGCUCUCCCUGCCCAUCCCUCUGGGAGAGCCGGCCUCCAUCUCCUGCAGGUCUAGUCAGAGCCUCCUGCAUAGUGAUGGAAACACCUAUUUGGAUUGGUACCUGCAGAAGCCAGGCCAGUCUCCACAGCUUCUUAUCUACACAAUUUCUAACAAAUUCUAUGGAGUCCCAAACAAGUUCAGUGGCAGCAGGUCAGGGACAGGUUUCACACUUAAAUUCAGCAAAGUGGAGGCUGAGGAUGUUGGGGUUUAUUGCUGUGAACAG